rnacentral:rRNA from 1 species
UCCGUAGGUGGCAAGCGUUAUCCGGAAUUACUGGGCGUAAAGAGCACGCAGGCGGUCUUUUAAGUUUGACGUGAAAGCUCCCGGCUUAACUGGGAGAGGUCGUUGAAUACUGGAAGACUUGAGGAAAUGAGAGGGGUGUAGAAUUCCUGGUGUAGUGGUGGAAUGCGUAGAUAUCAGGAGGAAUACCAGUGGCGAAAGCGGCACCCUAGCAUUGUUCUGACGCUCAUGUGCGAAAGCGUGGGGAGCGAACGGG